CUCGCCUCCCAUGCGCCCCUUCUCAUCCCCUCCCCCGGUUCAUCGGAGAGGAAAAUUAGCAGGUCGAGCGACCAGAUCCGCCCACAUCUGGCCCCGUUGCAACUGGCGCCGACCGCGGUGUUGGCGGGAGGCGCCAACACGCCGCUCUCGGCCGUGGAGCUGCUCCCGCCGGGCCACCCGAACCCGUCCGUCGCCUGCUCGCCUCCAGCAGCGUCUUCUCCGAACACACAGCCGACGGUGGUACGUGCUUGUGCUGGCGUGGCCGCGGCUCCACGAGGCCGUGCUCGACCCCGCCGGUGUCGAGCCCUUCGCGCGCGCCCACGCCGGCCUCCCCGCCUACGCCUACUAAGGCCAGGACCAGGAGGCGAACGAGGUGAUGCUCCAGGCCGUGACCGGCGUGUUGGAGCCGUUCAUGGAGGUGCUGCUGGAUGGGUACUGCCUCGGUGGAGGGUUUGAGGGCGUGGCCAUGCUCGUCGACGUCGGUGGCAGCUCCGGCGCCUUCCUCGCGAUGAUCAUUAGCAGGGUGCCCACCAUCCGCCAGGGACUCAACUUCGACUUGCCAGACGUCGUCGCCGCCGCGCCUCCCAUCUCUGUGAAGAAGGUGCAGGCAUGUAGCCACGGGAGCACGGGACAGCUUGAUCUAAAUGGCAAGCUAAAGUGCAGCAUUCGUGUACUGACAGUAAUACUCUAGGCACUAAAGCGCAACGGUCGUGUGAUGUUAGUAAUCUUGUACGUACUAUACGGUGGGUACUUAACUGCAGUCGUCGUCACCGACAGUAAUCUAGUAAGUUGAAGCAGUGAUUGAAAGUUGAAGCAGACUAACUAACAAACAAAUCGGCAGAACAUAGCACCACAAUUUACCGUGACAAUGCCACGACCAAUCGUUACCACCACCACACACAGAAAAUCUAAAGAAACAGAUGUUGUUUUUGGUAUCAACAUAUGCAGGAGACGAGUGGGGUAAACUAUGCAUAAUGCACUCUUGCUGAUACUGGCUUCAAAAAAAUUAACCAGUUAAGAGUUCACAUGCUAAUACUGAAGAUAUUGUGCCAUCCCCGUCCCUACCUAACAUGGUAAAAAUGGAAGGAUAGGCACAAUUUUUGCUAUAUUUUUGUUAGUUGGUUUUGUAGUACACUUAUGGUAAAUGCAUAUGCAUUCCUUAGCAUCUUUGCUUCAGAAUGUUUAACCUGUUCAGAGUUCACGGUGUCAACAUCAACAGUAGAUGAGUUACAAAAAAAGAUGAGUUUGAUAAUGAGUUUUUUUUAGGACCGAUAAUGUGGUUCACAUGCUAAUAUUGAAGAUAUUGUGUAUACUGCAGUUUUAUCAUAGCUUCUCGCCUGUGUUUUGUUACUCAAGAAACCACAAUGAAGAAAUCUAAGUCGUACAUGGUAUUUCUCCGUAAAAUUGAACUGCUGCUGCAUGAGCCAGAAGCUGAUGAUGAGCUGAAAUCUACCAUUUGUGUUGAGGCUUGAGACACACUCAUAUUGUUAAUUUCUUGCCCUAAAAAUUGUUUGUCUACUGAUUGCCCUCAAAACUUUUUGUCUACUACUUGCCUACUCAAUUUUUUGUACAUAUGUACAUGUGUGUGGUGAACUGGUGGAUUCAUGCCAGAAUUUUGCAUUGUGCUUACAAGUCCUUAGAGUCAUCUAAUGCCAAAUAAUCUGCUGGGCAGACACAAUUGAUUUAUGUGAAAUAGUAGAUGAGUAUAAAAUUAAUUUAGCUAGAGUGUUGGCGUGAUCUCAUUGUGUUCCAUGAACUUUGUUGUUCCAUAUCUAAUAAUUAUUACACAUUUAUAGAUAAGAAAAAUAUACACAGAUGUUCAUACUUAGAUCCACUUGCUUUAGUUCUUGACUAUCCUUGAUGCUCAUUCACUUGUUGAUGUUCCUUGGUUAUCUGUGAUGGACGAGGGGGGGAGAAGGGAUGGCAGAGGAGGUUCACAAUAUAUAGGACGACAAAUUACAUGAUGCAAGGAAGAUGGGGAGGAAGGAUGAAAUGUAGGUCAGAUGGGGAGUACCUGUACAGAUCAAAGCACCGCCGCCGUCGCUUGCUGGUUCUCCCGAGCCAUGGCCGGUCCAAAAUUCUAGCCGCCGCGGCCACCUCCAAUUUGUUCAUAAGGGAGAGGGUUCGGGGCCGAUGCCAUGGUCGCCGUCUUGGGUGUUGGUGGCUGCUACACCACCGUUCGUGGCUUUUGUGCUCGCGAGGUUGAAGGCAUGGAUGCUUCAUUUUAGAUAUGGAAUCAUUGAUGAUUGAUUUUGUAUAUGAACUGAUUGAUGCUCGCCGUCUUUAAUUAUUUUUAAUUGAUAAUUGAAUAGAUUGAUCCUGGCCACGGUAUGAAUAGAUAUCUUAGAAAAGUUGUAAUUGUGAAAGGAAAGAGUGGAUAGCGAUCGAUUGUAGUACGUGAGGGACCCAUGAUCUGUACAGAUAAUAUUUCAUAACAAAUUAAGUA